CGGAGGAGGCGGAGACGCCUCCACUUCCUCUCCAAACCCGGCGGAGGCCUCCGGAGCUGAAGGGUGACCGCUCGAGGAAAAACGCUCGGUAUUGGAAUCUGGCUGUACUUUAUUUGCUGCCCUCUGCAAGGAGGAUCUAUUCUACAGCCAGCCCAUGAGCCAGUUGUCCCUAAACCUGUCCCUUUGAACUUUAACCCCCCUCCCC